rnacentral:rRNA from 1 species
UACGAAGGGGCUAGCGUUGUUCGGAAUUACUGGGCGUAAAGGGCGCGUAGGCGGCCAGCACAAGUCAGUUGUGAAAUCUCCGAGCUUAACUCGGAAAGGUCAACUGAUACUGUGCGGCUAGAGUGCGGAAGGGGCAACUGGAAUUCUUGGUGUAGCGGUGAAAUGCGUAGAUAUCAAGAGGAACACCUGCGGCGAAGGCGGGUUGCUGGGCCGACACUGACGUGAUGCGCGAAAGCCAGGGGAGGCGAACGGG